rnacentral:rRNA from 1 species
GACGAACGCUGGCGGCGUGCCUAAUACAUGCAAGUAGAACGCAGUUGCGAACGGGUGAGUAACGCGUAGGUAACUGCCUCGUAGCGGGGGGUAACUAUUGGAAACCAUAGCUAAUACCGCAUACUGUGGGCUGGAUCUGCGUUGUAUUUGCUAGUUGGUGGGGUAAAGGCUCACCAAGGCGACGAUACCUAGCCGACCUGGGAGGGUGAUCGGCCACACUGGGACUGGGAACAGGCCCAGACUCCUUAGGGGGGCAGCAGUAGGGAAUCUUCGGAAAUGGACGGAAGUCUGACCGAGCAACGCCGCGGGAGUGAAGAAGGGUUUCGGAUUGUAAAGCUAUGUUGUUAGAGAAGCGGUACCUAACCAGAAAGCGACGGCUAACUACGUGCCAGCAGCCGCGGUAAUUC